AGUCAGUUCAGGCAGUCAGACCGU
rnacentral:miRNA from 1 species